GAACCUCAGUCUAUAAUGGUUGUUAACGUUUGUGAUAAUUCUAACAUUGAUGAGGGUCCUUUGAAUGUCUGGACUGAUUAUGAUGAGGAGAUAGUUGCAUUACAACUAGAUGAUUCAGUUCCACUAUUGUCUGAUUUUUAAGUUAUUGGGAUCUAUGAAAACUUGAUGGAUCCAAAAGUGGUUACUGUAAAGAAAGGGAUAAAAUUUUUUUUUCUGGCAUGGGCCUAGGAAAAAGUAUAGAUGGCCUGGUGACUUUUCUUGAGAUGAAGGGGCAGAUUACGAGUCAUGGUUUAGGCUAUGAGCUAACAGAAGAGGAAGAAGAGCUAAAGCCUCCUAAGUUCUUGAAAGA
rnacentral:misc_RNA from 1 species